rnacentral:rRNA from 1 species
AUUGAACGCUGGCGGCAUGCUUUACACAUGCAAGUCGAACGGUAACAGGCCGCAAGGUGCUGACGAGUGGCGAACGGGUGAGUAAUGCAUCGGAACGUGCCCAGUCGUGGGGGAUAACGCAGCGAAAGCUGUGCUAAUACCGCAUACGAUCUGUGGAUGAAAGCGGGGGACCUGCGGGCCUCGCGCGAUUGGAGCGGCCGAUGUCAGAUUAGGUAGUUGGUGGGGUAAAGGCUCACCAAGCCAACGAUCUGUAGCUGGUCUGAGAGGACGACCAGCCACACUGGGACUGAGACACGGCCCAGACUCCUACGGGAGGCAGCAGUGGGGAAUUUUGGACAAUGGGCGCAAGCCUGAUCCAGCAAUGCCGCGUGCAGGAAGAAGGCCUUCGGGUUGUAAACUGCUUUUGUACGGAGCGAAAAGGCUCCCUCUAAUACAGGGGGCUCAUGACGGUACCGUAAGAAUAAGCACCGGCUAACUACGUGCCAGCCGCCGCGGUAAGAC